GGAUUUGAUGAUAAUUUAUGACACCCAGUCUUACUUGCUCCUUUGGUGUGCUACCUGGUGAGAGAUUAAUUUCCUGAUCC